rnacentral:lncRNA from 1 species
AGGGAACUGCUGUUGAAGAGAUGCUUCAGGCUCUGGUCAACACAACAAAAGACAGUGAACAGAAAUUGCCAUUUGACAUGAAGAGAGUGACUGUAAAUGAAGACAGGAAGAAGACACAAGAAGCAUAUGAAUACCAGUGUCACAAUGGUUUGAGAAAAAAAGACAAAAGAUGUAAUUGUCGAAGAGAGAAUUUCCUGAUUUUUGAAGCCAUCUAGUAACUGCA